rnacentral:rRNA from 1 species
UACGUAGGGUGCAAGCGUUGUCCGGAAUUAUUGGGCGUAAAGAGCUUGUAGGCGGUUUGUCGCGUCUGCUGUGAAAUUUCGGGGCUCAACCCCGAACUUGCAGUGGGUACGGGCAGACUAGAGUGUGGUAGGGGAGCGUGGAAUUCCCAGUGUAGCGGUGAAAUGCGUAGAUAUUGGGAGGAACACCGGUGGCGAAGGCGGCCCUCUGGACCGGUACUGACGCUGAUGCGCGAAAGCGUGGGGAGCAAACGGG